rnacentral:piRNA from 1 species
UGAAGAAGGCGGCUGUGCACUAUGAUC